AUGCCCAAUGGGGCACAAACUCCGACUGAGGAGGGUGAGGCGAGUGGGGGCGAGAGCCAGGACGAGGAGGAAUGGGACUCGGACAUUGCAGGGGACGACGACGACGAUGAUGAUGACGACGGCGAUGAUGAUGACGCCGAAGACGAGGAGGAAGAGGAGGAGGUCGAGCCACCGCGCUCGGAAAGGCGGUCGAAGCUCGUCCACGACCCUUCGACUGAACGUGGCAAGGGGGUUGCGACGCAGUCGACCAAGCGCCCUAGGACCACUUCUCCAGCGCCAACUGAAAAGGCGCCGAAGCAGCCUAGGGGGGCUCCGCCAAAGCCGACCAAGCUCCUGCCGAAGAUGAAGGUGUCCAUCCCCACCAUAUCAGGUGCUGCUACUUCUGAGACCUUGGCCCGGGCUGAUGACCACGAGAUGGAGGAUGCAGCAACUUCGAAUCCAGCUCCACCCAACACUGUUAUCAAUCUCCCUGACGACGACGAGGAUGAAGAACCACUGACACACAGGAGGAGUCGGAAAGCGUUCGCCAGUAAGGUACCUCAGGAUGUGACGGCGCCUGAGAUUCUGACUGUGGAGGAAGGGAACACCACUCGACACACGGUGUCCUUCGCAAAUCCACUGACGAGUGCUCAGCAGCCCUCCCUCUUUACGACGCACCACGUCCCAGAGGACCAAGCUGGCGCAGCGAAGGAGGCAAUACGCCAGGCGGGACUCAUGAUGGAGCAGCUGAAGACCAUCCGGGACGCGAGCCAGGCAGCUUAUGACGCCAGUUCUGCCCUCCAAAGCAAUGUCCAGGCUGGUACUUCUUUCACGCAGCUAGACUCCUCCCAAGAUUUGCACUCACAUGUGAUUUUUUUGUGUCUGCGCACAAAUUUUAUCCUGGAGUAA
rnacentral:rRNA from 1 species